UUCUUCACCCGAGCCCGCACGAAAGCCGGCUUGUCCUGGGAAGGAGGCAGCUUAGCUUAGCAGAGGGGCCCUGGCUGACAGGACAGGGAGAGGGCGGCCCUCCUCGCGGCACAAACCGACGGACGUGAAUACAGAGAAGACUAGAGGAACCCAGGAGCUACCCUGCUGAGCUGGAACAGAGCCUUCAGGGCAGCCUCAUCUUCCACAAACUCUUCCUUCACGUCAGCAUCGAAGGUGAGGUAGGCCAGGCCCUCCACUGCCCAGCGCCGCGUGCCCGGGUCAAUCUGGUCAUUGCACAGCCACCUGGGGACACACGGGGUAGUGGGGAUCGGAACAGGGGCGUGUCCCCUCUAUACAUGAAGCAGCACACAUGGCAGGACUCAGGAGGGUCUGCCUGGGGCACAGCAGGGUAGAGAGGAGGCCCCGCCCUCCACCCACACUUUUCUCUCAAGGCCGAGUUGACAGUCUGGUUGGGAGCCACAGCGACCAAAUAACUCACUUUCGACACUGCUUGGCCAGUUUGAGAGUGGAGCCUUCAGCAAACUGCUUCAUGCUAAAGUCUGUCCCUCCAGCCGAGCCGAGCUUACACAGGCCCUGCAGGAAGAGGCAAAAACCAGAUGCUGGUCUCUAGGGAUGGAGGUGGGCUGGGCUCCUCCGCACCUGGCAUGGGCCCUCUCCCUGACAUGGUGCCGGGCCUUCUGCAGGCCACACACAGCCCUACCAGGCUACCACCUAGAGAUCUGGCAGCAAAUCAGCUACUGGGGGAGGGGGUCAGGUGACACACAUUGGGUAGAGACAGACAUCCUGGACCCCAACCCCCCAGAUCUGCACUGGGUUUGCUCUGUUUUUUUUCUGUGCCAUACAGAGAGCUCUUUGUGGGUGGAGCCAAGACCUGUGUGGGGAGAGGCCCAGUGCCUCGGGCAAGAGAAGAUCCUUCUGGGAUGGAGAGACCCAGGACUAAGUGCCCCAAGGAGAAGGACCAGCAUUCCCAAGGGCAUGGUUGCAGCAGGCUUACGGGGACCAACCAGGGCCCAAAGCUCCAGCUCCUGGGCUACCUGGAGGCUAAGCCUUUCGACAUGGCCCCUCUGACCAGCCUGGCCAACUAGCCUGGCCCAGCGGUCCUCCUGGAGCUUCUCCCACCACCUCCAGAGGUCAGCAAGUGCCGUUCUGCAUUCUCGGGGGUCCUGUCUGCACAAGGCUCAUCCCUAACUUGACCAUGAGCCCUGUGGUCAGGAGGAGCCAGGGCUCAUGCCUCUGGCUCUGACAUGGCCCUACACAUCCCAUACUGCACCUGGCUGUGCUGGAGCCGCACCCUCCCAUAGCGGCCCCCUUGCCUGCAGGCUGGCCUGCCCAGCCCGGGCCUGCCCGGCUCACCACCAGUGCCCGGAUGCGGAUGCUGUCCUUCUCACUGCGCUUGUACAGGUCCUUCAGCAGCGAGAUGCCGUUAGCCGUGAUGAACGAGGCCCGCUUGGCCUUGCCGGCCGCAUGGAUGAGAGCCUCCACGGCCACCAGCUGCUCCUCCUCCUGCUCAGAGGCGCACAGAGCGAUCACGCUCUCCAUGACGCCGCUCAGCUCCAGGGCCCGGUUGCCGGCUUCGCACGGGCCCUGCAGGAGGCAGGACACCGUCUGGAUAGCCCGCAGCUUCCCGGCCAGACCUUGGCCCUCGAACCAGCUCCUGAGGGGCACAAGGUGACAGCGGUCACACAAAGGCCAGCAUAAGGGGAUUCUCCUACCCCACCCCCUUUCUGUCCACCGGCCAGGCAUCUGCACGACUUGGGCAGGAACAGCAAAGAAAGCUGCCCCCGGGACGGCAAGCACAUGCCGCUGAGCACUGGCUGCCCAGCUUCUCUCGCUCGGCUCUCGGGCCUUCCCUGAUCAUGUAGCUGACCUAGGUCACUCUCGCUCACACCAUUUAGCUCCUUUCCUGCACGUAUGACAACCCAAAACUGCUCUGCUCCUAUCAGGAUUUGUCCUCAGUCCCACCUGGAACCUCCUUAAGGGCAGGACCGUCGUGCUGCACUGCAGUGUCCCAACGGACACCCCAAAGGGCUCAGUCCACACAGUGCGUGCCCGAGAGCAUUCGCUGUGGUGUAGAAUGGAGAAAGAACAUUCCCUGGGCAGGCCACUUUGGAAAAAGAAGUGGGCCUUGGGACCACUUUGGUCCCUGCAAGGCGUCCCUAAGGCUGCUCUCCUGAUUGAAACCCUUUCAUUGCUGGCCCUCCCCGAGGAGUGCGAACCGUCGGCACCCCCGGCAGUGGUCCGGGCCGGCUCCCUUACCUGAUGUAGUUCUCGCAGAACCGGUGGAAAUUCUCCCUCUCGGCGUCACACUUCAGGUCAUCAAAGAGCUUGUUGAGCAACACGGAGGCACUCAUGCGGCUGUUCGCGGUCACCGCGAGCUCUCCAGGAGGCCCCUGCACAGAGCCUCCCACCUCCAGAAUCUUCUUCAGGCCUGAAAAGAUACCCUGCUAUGAAAGGAGCAAAAGGCUGGCAAAGUGAGGAGGUUCCCUGGGAAGGGCACGGGCAAGCAGGGCCUCCCGGAGAGCGGGACAGCAUGGACAGUCGCAUGCAGGGCAGGCUCGGAGAGCCGGGGGGGGCUGCCGCCGCCUCCAGAAACAGUCAUGGUGUCAGGAAGGGUCCUCGGAAGUGAGGACCGCAUGCUGGCCCUGCCCAUGGGGCCAAGUGCUCUGGGGCUUUGAGGUUCCUCAUCUGUAACACUGAAGGGAAAGAUAACACCCGGGCCUCACAGCAUUAGGAGGAUACCAAAAGAUGAACACCCGAUAAACGUACUCAUGGA